CCUACGGGGGGCAGCAGUGAGGAAUAUUGGUCAAUGGGCGCGAGCCUGAACCAGCCAAGUAGCGUGAAGGAUGACGGCCCUACGGGUUGUAAACAUCUUUUAUAGAGGAAUAAAGUGAGGCACGUGUGCCUUUUCGCAUGUACUUUAUGAAUAAGGAUCGGCUAAAUCCGUGCCAGCAGCCGCGGUAAUACGGAGGAUCCGAGCGUUAUUCGGAUUUAUUGGGUUUAAAGGGAGCGUAGAUGGGUUGUUAAGUCAGUUGUGAAAUUUAGGGGCUCAACCGGAGAAGUGCAAUUGAUACUGGCAGUCUUGAGUACAGUAGAGGUAGGCAGAAUUCGUGGUGUAGCGGUGAAAUGCUUAGAGAUCACGAAGAACUCCGAUUGCGAAGGCAGCUUACUGAACUGCCACUGACAUUGAGGCUCGAAAGUGUGGGGAGCAAACAGGAUUAGAUACCCGUGUAGUC
rnacentral:rRNA from 1 species